CCUACGGGUGGCAGCAGUGGGGAAUAUUGGGCAAUGGGCGCAAGCCUUACCCAGCACUACCGCGUGAGUGAAGAAGGUCUUCGGAUUGUAAAGCUCUUUGAUCAGGGACGAACAGAUGACGGUACCUGAAGAACAAGCCCCGGCUAACUACUGGCCAGCAGCCGAGGUAAAACGUAGGGGGCGAGCGUUGUCCGGAGUUACUGGGGGUAAAGGGGGGGCAGACGGCGAUGAAAGCCAGGAGUGAAAGCCCGGCGCCCAACCCCGGGACUGCUCUUGGAACUGGGUGGCUGGAGUGCAGGAGGGGCAGGCGGAAUUCCUGGUGUAGCGGUGAAAUGCGUAGAUAUCAGGAGGAACACCGGUGGCGAAGGCGGCCUGCUGGACUGCAACUGACGUUGAGGCCCGAAAGCGUGGGGAGCAAACAGGAUUAGAUACCCGGGUAGUC
rnacentral:rRNA from 1 species